rnacentral:rRNA from 1 species
UACGUAGGGUGCGAGCGUUAAUCGGAAUUACUGGGCGUAAAGCGUGCGCAGGCGGUUCGUUGUGUCGGCGGUGAAAGCCCCGGGCUCAACCUGGGAAUGGCCGUUGAAACUGGCGAACUGGAGUGUGGCAGAGGGGGUGGAAUUCCGCGUGUAGCAGUGAAAUGCGUAGAGAUGCGGAGGAACACCGAUGGCGAAGGCAGCCCCCUGGGCUAGCACUGACGCUCAGGCACGAAAGCGCUGGGGAGCAAACAGG